CCAGCUAUACAGACCAAAGCAGAGUCUCACCAAGGCUAAUGGAGGACACCUUCUGAAGAGUUGGCAGAUGCCAGUCUAACCGAUUUAUUACAGGUUCUAACCUGUCUCCAUAAUUGUGUGAAUCAUCCAAUUGUCUGAGCAGCCAAGUUCAUUAACCAUAAAGUAUUUUGAGAUUUGCUACUUUAAGGAAGAUGACUUGAUUUUAUUUUCCCUAGCUAGUGGUUUUAACAUGUUUAUGUAGUUACAUAAUAAGUCCGGACUUUUUCAAAGGAAAACAAGAGAAGGAAUCAACUGAGGCUAGAGAGGGUUUCAGAGAGUCUGGAUUGGCCGUGAUGGUGGAGCAGUUGAGAGGGGAGCCUCUUGCUGAAAAUUGAAAAUUCUCUUUCCCAAAGGACAAUUUUUUGUUUAUGUUCACACCCAUGCACAAUAACGAAGGCAUCCCAGACCAGAGGCUGUCAGGAGCAGCCAUGCUGUCACCAUGAAUAGAUACAUCUUGUUCUGUAGGGGAGAAAAUGCUGAGAGAUUUUCUUCAUUGAAAGAUUUGCAACUCUCAAUUACGGAGAUACUAUGAGAGCAUGGAAGACAGGGAACAUCGUUUAAUGAAAUGGGUCACAUCUACUUCACAUAGGUCUCAUUUCUUCUCUGAGGUUGUGUGAUGGUGAACUAAAUGGACACAUGUGCCAGAUGUGGCACAUGUGUCCAAAAGUGCUCAGAGGGGGAUUGGAGAGGAAAGGAGGAUCUUGGGGUACUGAAAUUCUCAAACCUGAAGGUUGGACAAUGUUUUCUGACUUUUCCUUUUUAUAAAAGGACUAAUGUAAAAAAAAUUGUUAAAUUAUAGAAAAGAGGAACACAUAUGUUUAGAAUUCAAAAGCACUGAGAUUUCUUAGCCAUUUACUAAUACUGUUUACUAACAUCCAAAGGCCACAUUCCACCUGUAAUUGAAACUUGUAGGGGAGAAGAAGCAGUGGCCAGGGUGAUGUCUGACCAGGAGCAGGAUAUUUGGCUCACUACCUUUGACACUUUAAGGACUUACACGUGAAAAAGCUUUUCACCCGUGUUGAUUUGCUUAAUCCUUAUAACAACCCAGAGAAGCAGUUACAAUGACUUUCUCCAAUUUUCAGAUGCAUCUCAGGUUCAUUUAAGGAAAUUUCUGAGGUGACAGAGAUAGUAAGAGGGCUGACCCAAGCCCCUGAUCCUUGAUUGAAUUCUAAGCCAUGCUCUUAAGCCUAAUGGUGCUCUGCUCCCAUUGUCCCUUCAGUUUCUAUGGGAAACAAAGGGGUGAGUGUGAUGAAAUGAUUCUACACAGAUUAAAUAGAAGAUGAAAGCUCAGGCUACCCUUCUUCUGCUCCCACCCUCUUCCAGCCGAGCACUCCCAUCACUGCAUGAUCACUGAUCAUUGACCUAGUUACUUUCUGAGCAAACAAUCCCAGCUCCUAAUACUUAAUAACCCCCAUGCCAGCCAUUGUCAGUGUUGACUGGGGCUUGCAGGCCACGCUGGGGAAGGCUGAACCUGAGAACAUCACAAGCCAACUCCCCCUAAAAGAAAGUAUUACACACAGCUAAGGGUGGCUGGCCUUUAUAAUAGAAAAUUGUUGAGACCAUAAACCCAUAGAACGGCCUUUGGCUUUAGCAGACACAGUAGGUCUAGAUGGAACCAUUGAAGAAAACAGAGGGCAACUCGGAUGUGGACAGAAGAUGGGCUCAAGAAAGGAAAACAGGAUUCAGAGUCCAGGAAAGGGAAGUAACUGAGUUCACAGGAUUAGAGGCUGAGCCAUGGUUUGGACUCAGGCCUGAUGCCAGCAGUGCUCCAAAGGUUCAUCUCCUUCUGGGUUUCUGCCUGGAGGUCAUCUGAUUUCUGUCUGAGGCUCUCACGGAGUUAAUAUGCAGAAAAUUCCCAACUAAUGCUUCAUACAGCUUGAUUGACUUUUCUGUUACAGUGCUGAAAAAUAAAAUAGUAAAAACUU